rnacentral:snoRNA from 1 species
AGGCCGUGAUGGGGACACUUGCGUAAUAGCUCCUUGAACCUUUCCCAAGUUUCAUAUAAGGAUUCCCCGUCCUCUUGUGAGUAUGUAUUAAUUUCAGCAAUUAAUUU